GACGAACGCUGGCGGCGUGCCUAAUACAUGCAAGUAGAACGCUGAAGGUGGAGCUUGCUCUUCUGGAUGAGUUGCGAACGGGUGAGUAACGCGUAGGUAACCUGCCUGGUAGCGGGGGAUAACUAUUGGAAACGAUAGCUAAUACCGCAUAACAGUAGAUGUUGCAUGACAUUUACUUAAAAGUUGCAAUUGCAUCACUACCAGAUGGACCUGCGUUGUAUUAGCUAGUUGGUGGGGUAACGGCUCACCAAGGCGACGAUACAUAGCCGACCUGAGAGGGUGAUCGGCCACACUGGGACUGAGACACGGCCCAGACUCCUACGGGAGGCAGCAGUAGGGAAUCUUCGGCAAUGGACGGAAGUCUGACCGAGCAACGCCGCGUGAGUGAAGAAGGUUUUCGGAUCGUAAAGCUCUGUUGUAAGAGAAGAACGAGUGUGAGAGUGGAAAGUUCACACUGUGACGGUAUCUUACCAGAAAGGGACGGCUAACUACGUG
rnacentral:rRNA from 1 species